UUCCCCAAUUCCUCUCCUUUCUCUGAAGCUCUUUCCUUUCAGGUCCCCCAGUUUGGCGUUUCCCCGCAAGAGGAGGAACGCGCGUCUCCUCAGGCCUUUCCGGGGUCCUGCAAACUUGAGAGCCCCAAGUCCUCUAUGCCAAGAUGAAGUUAGAAGUGCAAGAAAUCUGUUGGGAGUGGUGCCUCUGGAAGAUCAAGGUGUGAGGGAGCAGGAGGACGCAGGGAGCGUUCAGACUGCCACGCAGGUUUGGCAUCUACCCAAGGACGGGGGAAGGAGUGCUGGGCAGGAAAAGGCUCUGACUGCAGCACGGCUCCAAGGAAUCUCUCUCGGCUGGGCUAGCCCGAGUCCUGGUGUACAGAUGGCCCACAAAGGAGCGCUUCUUUGGGCAGAAACGGCCAGGCCCUGGUACUCUGCCAUGCUCUGUCACUGGCCAGGGCUGCAGGAGAAGAGUGUGGCUUUGGAUCAAAUGCUGUGGCGGAUCCCCUAGGUGGGGCAGGUGCAGGCUGGCAGCUGACCCCUUGCCCACACCCGCCAUGAAGGAGGUGGGCGCCGGGUCCCUCUGGAUCUACCCUGCACAGUCCUUGAGGCAAAGCCUGUCUUGUUCCCUUCACAAUCUUGCCCAUAUUACCGGUGUCCAGUUACCGUUUCUUGAGUUACUUCUUUUCAUAGGACCAGUUGGUAAUGUAAUAGUAAUAGCAUGAUGGGGUAGGAAGAACUUGGGUUUGAGACACAGAAAGAUCUGGAUUCACAUCACAGGUGUUUUUCUAGCCAAAUCUGUAUUAGAUCAGCUGGCAUCUAAUGCAAGUUCUUUAACUUCUUUAAGCAGCUGAAAUGAGAUUAAAGUCAUCUGCUGAAAUGAGA